CAUUGAAGCAGCUGACUAAUGCCAUAUGAGAGCGUCACCACAGGCACUAAAAGUGGAGCAUGACCUCGGCAAUUGAAUAGAACAGAACAGAAAAAAUAUCAGAAUACAGUAUUAAAACGGCAGAAUAGAAAGAGGAUAUGACAGAGUGAAAAAUAUAAGAAUAGAACAGAGGAGAAUAAAAUUAGCUGAACUGUUUUGUGUUGGACUGGCAACAUUGGUUUUUUUGGGGUGGGGUGGGGGGACUUUAAUGUCAGUAAAGCACCUUUGAAUUAAACUGAACUGAAUAAAAUAAAACCAUACAAAAUUUCAGAAUAGAGCAGAACACAAAAUAAUCUAGGUGUUAUGAUUGAAUGGGAAAUAUAGCCAAAAAAAAAAAAAAAAAAACAGAAUAGAACCAAAUAAUAACUAAAAAAGGGAAAAUCAUAGAAAAGCCAAUUACAUCUGUCCGACAGGAUCCAGCUGUGACGCUGUUAUUGCCCCUGAUGUGCAGGUACACGUGAUCACACUCACUGAUGUGAAUACAACAAUAAAGCUUGUGUUUUGGCACAUGCAUGUGAUGAUGUGUCGUGGCACGUCGCUGCCACCAGGGGUCGCAGCACGCUAACAUGUUGCUGGUCAGGGAGGUAACAGGAGAGGUGUGAUGGACCUGGGAUGUAUAUAGCUUCCCGAGCAGCAUCGAUAAAAGAGGGGAACACCUUGAGAGAGCCGCAGACGAGCCGCCCCGGAGCCGCCGGAGACGCAGCCUAGCGCGGUACGGUCCCUGUGUGGCGCAUGUGGACGGACGAGCCAACACACCGCAGGAAUGCGUGCAGUUACAGGCGCGCACACACACACACACAUAUACACACACACACACACACAUGCUCGGACAUUACUCAAUGUAAGUGCUCUCGGACGUUUUCAAGUCCUCAUCUCAGAAUUAUUGGGGAUACGAGGGCCACGCUGCUGCGCCCCCGACGGAAACCUAUAAUUGGAGACGAGCCAGUGACGCGCUGAAAAUAACCAGGUUACCACUUAGCACCGGUCCAUUUUGGGGAGGGCCCAACACGAGGGCGCAGCACCAUAUAUCAGCUCCUUCCAGCUGUUUGGGAAUAUCCUGCUCACAGUAUCGAGGCUGCAGCAUGGCAGUGGCAGGAGCAGCAGCAGCAGCAGCAGCAGCAGAAGGCUCCUUUCUCUCUCCGUCUCCUUAGUCUUCCCGGCUGUCUCUUUCCAGAAUGGAUAUUGGGUGACUGGCAUGUGCUGGGUGCGCACCGGGGAUCUCUCGGUGGGAAACGCAGCUUUUUUUUUUUUUUUAAGGGAGGGAGGGAGGUGGGGGGAGACUGGCACAAGGCGCGACACUGUUGCGUCUACAUGUUUUUUUUUUCCUCCUUGGGCAGAGGGGAAAAGAUAGGCCGGGGGGGUGGGCUGUCCGACGUUAUUCCAAAAGACAAUUCGCCCCCCCACCCCCAACCCCCCACCCCAAAAGGAUAAUCUUGCUCAAUUUGGGAUGCGUGCAACGCCAAGUGAUCAGAUAUUACUGGGGCGGCGGUGGUGCUGGUGCUGGCGGUGGGUGAACGGCGAAGUUCAACUUCGCUUGCAGACGCGAUCUCCUCCAGGCAGCCAGACAACCAACCAGACAGUCGGCGCUUUUUACGCGAAGUCCCCCUAUGGCCACGGGGAUGCUGCUGACACCUGCCCCGGUACGCAUGCAGGUAACAACGACUGGGCAGCAUCACCUACUUCUCCAGACGCUGACAGACAGCAGAUCGGUGGUGUGACAUGGAGACGGGCCCGCAACCACCAGCGGAGCUGAGCUGAGCUGCAGAGCUGCUUUAGAGCCCUGCUGAGACCUGCCAGACCCACAGCUCUCCCUGCCAGGGGCCUGGGCUCACAGUCAGAGUGAGUUACAACCCAUGCUCCUGACACACACACACACAUGCUAAUACAGAAACACACAUACUCUUAGCUUAAAUGUGUAUAGUAUGUAGGCAUGCAGGCACAUGCAUAGGUAGAACACAUACUGAAGUAUAUGUGCACAACCAUAAACCAAUACACACAUGCAGACAAAAAAAAAAAAAAAAAAAAAAACUGCAAGCAUUCAGACACAUUCAAAUUAAUGCACACACCUGCAUGUGCACAUACUGAUGCACAAUACCAGUUAAUACAUGAGGAAGGCCACUGCAUGCAAAGCUACUUAUGUCACUAACCUUUUUAUUCAAAUUAGCACCACAGUGACCUCUGGAACUCACACACACCCCCACACACAGAUAUGGCAUAUGUAUACAAAAUAAAUGUGCGCCAUCACUGCACACAGGCAAUAAAGCGAGAGUGUCCUCCUACAGAGGCUCUAUCUGUGAGGGUUAGUUUAAGGUCAAGGUCCAGCAGCUGCUGGAUCAGCUGGAUUGAUCUGUCUGGGUAAACAUGUAGGGUGGAAAUGAGCAUGUUUGUGAUUAAGAGCUUAGCAGAGGGUGUGUGUGUGUGAGUGUGUUUGUGUGUGAGUGAAUGAGAGAGGAAGCAUCAAUAUGUGAUUGUAUGUAUGCUACGUCGGAGAAAGUAAUAUGUAUCAGCUGCAUAGGUGUGUUGGUAUGUGCUCUUACAUUCAUCUUUUUGAAUCAUGGCUCAGACAGAAUCGCUUACAUCCUGAAGUAAAUCAUACCGUCUGUGUUUGUUGAAGGGAGUCGAUCCCACAAGCCCCUGGUUCAGUGCCCUGCUGAAAAAACUGCAUGUAAUCCAAUGAAUUAUCUGCUCUUAAUAAGUCUGAGGAUGAAAUGUCUUUAAUAGUCAAUUGCUGAGUGUGUCUAAACCUGUAAACUCAACUAUGAUGAUUUUAAUGUUCAUAUUGUACUAUAAUUACAAGUUUACAUGGUUUCCUAUGACAAUUCCAUUAUGUCAUACCCUUACAUAUUCAUUUAAUUUAAAAAACUCAAUUAGUGUGGAGGUAGAAGCCUGCAUUCACACAGCCAGUGUUUGGUGCUGACUACUAAGGAGAACAAAGUGUAGUGUGCACACUAUAUUGCCACAGGGUAUCAAGUUUGUAUGAGGAAAGUACCACACAGACAAAUGUCACUAAGCCAUAUGCCAACAAAUCUCCCCAAAGGCACAGUCGCUGGGUUUACAUCACUAACAACAUGACUGAUCAGACCUCAGAGGUCUUUGAACAUUCACUACUUAGUUUUGAUUUUAAAGGAAGAUUGUUGUCAUAGUAAAUAAAUCACAUGGUUAAGGUGUUGUAACUAAAAACACCUGGUUAAGGGGGAACUCCACUGAUUUUACACAUAGAUGUCUGUUUACAGGUCUUGGAGUACUACAGUGAAAGAGUUGUAGAAAGCUUUUUUUUGGGGUGGGUGGGUGGUGGGGGCUCAAUGGGGAGCUGCCCAAAAAUUGACAAAUUACCUCAAGUGAUGUGACUUGGUUGGGUCUGAAAACUACAAGUGUGAAAAUGACAAAAAUCUGGAGGUGUGGAGUUAGACAGAAAUUAGCUGACCUGAGUUAGCUCGAUCCUUAUCUCUGCGUAAGGAUCGAGGCUACAUUAACUGCUACUGGCAUAACAUACCCGGAUCUCUGAUUUAAAUGGCUGUGGUCAAGUUGCAUUGUGGAUAAUGUAGGCACCAGGUUUUGACAGCGAAGAAGUGAAUACGUUGAAUUAAAAAAGAUGAUAACUCUGGUUCUGCUGCAUCAAUUUUCAUAGUUUUUUUUUUUAAGUUAGAAAAACUGGCCAUCUGAUAUCCAGCGUUAUAGGAAUGUGAUGCUAAAUCAGUGGAGUACUCUUUAGAGUUCAGGCAAAGCUGAUGUCCAUGGUAACGUAUUAAAAUAUAUAUUUGGAAGAGGAUGUUGUGAACAAAUCAUGUAAUGUUUGAAGACCCCUGCUCAAACUGAACUUGGCAAGGAUCCAUGAUGAGCCAAAAAUGCAUUGUGUGUACUUGUGUGGAUACAUGUCUGUGUCCUUUCUGGAGUUUAUUGGGGCCUUCAGACAAGAAGAAACUUGAAAAUGUCUGAGUGACACAUCACUCCUACUACAAUCCUUAACAGAAACACAAAACACACAGACAGGCGGUUAAGUGAGGAGUGAAUGUCACUUUGAGGCUUUUGGGAACACUUGAAGCCAACGAGUCCAGUGUGGUUGUUGUAUCUAUUGCGCAAAACAAUGGGAAUUUGCUGUCAAAUUUAGUUGUGGCUACCUGAAUUAUUUCAUAUUGCACCUUUAAUUAUAGAACAUGGUUGUCAUUCCCUUGCACAACUGAGCUGUAUCUGCAUAUAACCAUAUAUGGCACAAACAUGAGGGCUGACAAACUGUUUUUGUGCUGGCUGUACCAAUGUAUCUGACAGAAGAAAUAGUAUACUGAUAGUAUACUAUUUAUACAUGAGUAGCUAUAAGACUUGUGUCUAGAUUAAUCCCAGGAAUGUUAAUGUGAUGUAAUAGUGAUGAAAUAGAGCGAGGCGUGGGUGUGGGGUAAGAGUCCCUCAGAGCAGAGUUAAGGUCUGAAAGUACUAAAAAGUCUUGACCCCAGACCCUACACACCCACUCACAGGGACGCAGCACCUCUCUUCCAGCCCAGCACAUGCUUUCAUACUCUUUCAUACUCAAAGAAACACAAACUUGAAGACACCAGCGAACACAGACACAAGAAAGACAAGAAAAGGAUAUGAACUUAAACAACAAACAUAUGUUUGUCCUAUGAAGAUGAGCACAAAAUGUACCCUGCGGCAGAUGUCAAUGCGUUCGCUCUCCCUGGCUCAUACAAACGCGCAAACAGCUGAACACAUCCCUGUUGUCUUGUGUUGCUCGUCAUGCAACGAGGAGCACAUGACUUAAAUCGGGUGUGGUGCAUGACCUGUUAUCGGACAAAAGCGUCCCACAGAGAGAGCUGAUGGGUGAGACUGCGCCUCCCCUCCUGUCCUGUCUGUCGGCAGUCAUGAGGUCUCCAUCCCGUUCGCCACGCCGUGUCUCGUGGUUCAAAGCCCAUAAAAUGUUUGAGCUAAAAAAUCCCCUGCUUUUAAAACAUUCAACUGUGGCGGCGUGUUGUCAAUAAAUCAGCUGCUUAGCCUGAGGAAAGCGGCAUUAACCGGGGGGGAAGGAAGUGCAGAAAGACUUCUUUUUAAGGCAUGUUUUUCCAGAAUGAAGCCUUUGAAUUUUUUGUCGCAUCCUAUAAAUGUCGCACCUAGAGGGCCUAAAGUCUCAGUGAGAAUGGUUGGUUUGUAUUUCACACAUUAACCCUGAAGCCUCAACAGGCCUUGCAGUCAUGCAAAGUUGAAUGCAAAUAUUCCAGUGACAGAAGCUGUAUCCUGUGUUAUCUUAUUACUGAUUACUCUUUUAGUGUCUUGCUGAUUGAUUCAUAUCAUUUAACUGUCCUAACAAGAAUAUGUGUAUGUCAGUGUGUCUCAAAUUUUGCUGCAAUCAUUUCUUGACACGACAACAAAAGAGGUAAUACAUAACCUUAUCUCAGAUUCACUGACAGGACUAACUUUCCAGCAGUAAUGAUGCUUUCACUAAAAUCUCUGUAACAGCUUUGGGGCCCAAUAAGGCUAACACUUAGGAAAAUACCAUAUAUUUUUAUGUUGCAUGCUAAGUUUCAUAGGCAGGCAGUUAAAAUGCUUCUGCAGGUGUUAAAAUGGCUAAUAAAGCAAAUUGUUCCACCACCAGUGAAAAAGUAGCCUUUGGAAAUCUGUGAGAUGGAGGCCAGGGAGAAGAAAAGGAGAUGAGUUAGAAAUGUUUACUACUGAACAUCUCCUCUUUGAUUUGGCUGAUAGCUGAAACAGCCUGGCAAAUUGUAACCAAGAGAGUGAAAAUCAAAUUGAGCUGCAAUGUGUCAGGAUAUGUAUGUGUAUGUGUGUGUGUGUGUGUGUGUGUGUGUGUGUGUGUAAAAGCCAGCCAUCCCAUCACAAGGUAGCGUCAUUGAGAGGCAGUGCCCCCAGGCAGCUGGCCACAAUCUACCCAGGGCACUUUAAAUUAGAGUAGUGUUCACUAACACAAGGUUAGAGGGUUCAUCUACUGUGGAGAUAUGAAAAGGGCCAAUUGUCUGGUGCUGUGCUGAUGGCUGCAUGAAAAUCAAGUGAAGAAGCUUUGAAUCGCAGGCCUGUAUGUGACCGUGGCUAAUUGUGGAAUGAAUCGAAGAACCGUAGGAUGGACUGAGGGACGUAAACGCAGAUGCGAGGAUAGAUGGCUACAAAGACGACUGUCCCCUUGAAUGACGGUUGCUUUCAAGAUUUCAGGAGGUAAAAUAAGAUUUGUAAAGUCUUUAUUCCCGGAUUAUGUAUACUCAUUAUGUGUAAUAUGUUGAAUAAAGAUUCUGUCUAAAAUA